GACGAACGCUGGCGGCGUGCCUAAUACAUGCAAGUAGAACGCACAGUUUAUACCGUAGCUUGCUACACCAUAGACUGUGAGUUGCGAACGGGUGAGUAACGCGUAGGUAACCUGCCUGGUAGCGGGGGAUAACUAUUGGAAACGAUAGCUAAUACCGCAUAAUAUUAAUUAUUGCAUGAUAAUUAAUUGAAAGGUGCAAUUGCACCACUACCAGAUGGACCUGCGUUGUAUUAGCUAGUAGGUGAGGUAACGGCUCACCUAGGCGACGAUACAUAGCCGACCUGCGAGGGUGAUCGGCCACACUGGGACUGGGACACGGCCCAGACUCCUACGGGAGGCAGCAGUAGGGAAUCUUCGGCAAUGGACGAAAGUCUGACCGAGCAACGCCGCGUGAGUGAAGAAGGUUUUCGGAUCGUAAAGCUCUGUUGUAAGAGAAGAACGGGUGUGAGAGUGGAAAGUUCACACUGUGACGGUAUCUUACCAGAAAGGGACGGCUAACUACGUG
rnacentral:rRNA from 1 species